GAUGAACGCUGACAGAAUGCUUAACACAUGCAAGUCGAUGGGGAAGUGGUGCUUGCACCAUGGCAACCAUGGUGGACGGGUGAGUAACGCGUAAGGGACUUACCUGCAGGACUGGGAUAACAGGGGGAAACUCCUGACAAGACCGGAUAAUGUCAUGGAGCUGCAUGGCUUUAUGAUGAAAGGAGACGCCUGCGGAGAGCCUUGCGUCCUAUUAGCUAGUUGGUGAGGUAAUGGCUCACCAAGGCGAAGAUAGGUAGCCGGCCUGAGAGGGUGGACGGCCACAAGGGGACUGAGAUACGGCCCUUACUCCUACGGGAGGCAGCAGUGGGGAAUAUUGGACAAUGGGGGCAACCCUGAUCCAGCAAUUCUGUGUGCACGAAGAAGGUUUUCGGAUUGUAAAGUGCUUUCAGCAGGGAAGAAGUAAGUGACGGUACCUGCAGAAGAAGCGACGGCUAAAUACGUG
rnacentral:rRNA from 1 species